rnacentral:rRNA from 1 species
UACGUAGGGGGCUAGCGUUGUCCGGAAUCAUUGGGCGUAAAGAGCGUGUAGGCGGCUCGAUAAGUCCGCUGUGAAAGUCCAGGGCUCAACCCUGGGAUGCCGGUGGAUACUGUCGGGCUCGAGUCCGGAAGAGGCGAGUGGAAUUCCUGGUGUAGCGGUGAAAUGCGUAGAUAUCAGGAAGAACACCCGUGGCUAAGGCGGCUCUCUAGUACGGUACUGACGCUGAGACGCGAAAGCGUGGGGAGCGAACAGG